UCCAACGCGUUAGAUCUGUGUACAUUUCACCCGCCUCAUUAAGGGCAUUUUCGUAAUUUUGUCCAUUAAACGACCUUUGUUCUAACUUUCUUUCUCUUCCUCUUACUUUCUCUCUCUACAUUUUUUCUCUCUCUCUACCUCCGUACUCUCUAAAAGUCUGAAGGCGAUUUCGCUCAUUGAGUUCAUAAGUUUUCCUCUUCGAUUUCGCAAAUUGUUUGAUUAUUCUUCUACGUUCUUGUUUUUGCUGUGAUUCGUACCCUCUGAAUUUUCUCUAAUUGUCUUUCUUUCAGCGAAUUUUUUUACGCUGUUCUUGUUGUUGGACGAAUCCGCUUUUCUCCUGUGAGGCAAGUAGGCAACUAUAUUAGACAAGUCUUCGCCUCUUCGAUGCCUACGUGCGAUUUUCUAUCUAAGGUAAUGGAAGCUCCUAGGGUCUGGAAAAUUUUAUAAUGCUACAGCAAUGUUAAUAAGGGUAAACAUGUUAAUGGGGUCCAUAUAUGGUUCAUUUAUGAUUCUUGGGGUGUUUAUUUCUGUAAUUUUAUUUUUAAACCUUAAAAAUAAAAGGUUAGGGUGGCGUGCAAUGUAGGAAAUUAGGAAGGAUAUUCUUUCACCCCACUUGGCAGGGAAUAAUAAUUUUUAGUAUUAGUAAAAUUCUUUUUGAGGUUAA